rnacentral:lncRNA from 1 species
UUGAGAGAGUGUGUGAGGUCCAUUUAUAAUGAUAUUCCAUAUUUUAUAGUUUUGUGAUUGAAUAAAAAUUUUCAUUCUAGCUAUCCAUUGAAUAUAGUAAGUUCCAUCAAACAGUGGAGGUUUGUUUAUGGAAAGUCCCUCGGCAAAUAAUAUGUUAUGUGGGGUUGUCAUAAUCUUUAGCUCUAGUCGGUUAAAACUAUAAUUAAUAGAAGAGCACCUACUCUGAUACCACUUGUUGCCCAAGGUGACAACCCAAGA